GAAAGGUUCCAUGUGAACGG
rnacentral:snRNA from 1 species